AUCCAGCUGACGAGUCGUAAAUGGGACGAAACACGCGUCGUGAAU
rnacentral:hammerhead_ribozyme from 1 species